AAAUAAUAUGCUAAAAAGAGCAAAAGAAGCUCACUAACCAAAGGAUAUGCUUAGGUCUCUAGGAAAAAUGCAGAGUGCAUUUAUUUGCCACAACUACGGAAAAGAAGUUUUAUCUGCAUCCACCUGAAGAUGCAUUUUUGAGGAAUGAAUGGAUGCCAAGAGUGGACAUGGCAAAUGCCAAUGCUGGUAGAACUGCACACUGGGGCAGGGGCAUAGUUUCCUCGGUGCAUUCAUCUGUGAAGGUCUCCAAAGAAGUGGCAGCAAAACAAGCUGGAUGCUGACUGCACAUUCAGGUAUCUGAAGCAGAUGUAAAUGGGAGAAUAGGUCCUCUUCUCAGCAGAGCUCAGUAUGGGAUUUGACAGACCUAGUAAGGGCAUGAUGAAGGUCCUGGCUGCAAUAGGUUGAAGCCAUGUGACUGGGACAGACUGCGUCCUGGCAUGGACAGACAGAUCUGAAGACACUGGAGCUAUGCCACCUCACUGUAACUUACUGCUUUCAGUAAUUUCAGACUCCGCAAUAGCACUCUUCUCCUUCUGCUUUGCCUUGUGGCACAUGCAUCACCAGUGCAAUACCUCACUGAUGCUGGAGUUGCAACUAAAGUGGAGACUAGAUUUAGAAAAUGAGGGAAAGAAAAGCUAUAUCACUCCCUGUCACUGUAAAUCUGCCUAUGACUCCAUGAUCAGAGUGUCUCCGUACUGGAAGGCUAUUAUUCAUGAUACCUGCACCUGGGAGAAGGUUUUCUAGCCAGUAAAAACCCAUAUCCAGUAAGAUGCUGAAUGUAAUGGAUGCAGACAAAAUAUUCAAGAUAGAUAAGGUGGAUGUUGUAAUUACAUUUUCAUCCCAAAUGUAAAAAAAAUACUUUUUGAGCAGAAUACUCUUAUCAAUUUGCUAGGUCCAUAUGGCUGUGCUGUUCUGUUUAUAUUCACAGGAAACUUGUUGUAUUUAUCCAAAAAGACUCAACGUGUAUUUGUACUGAGUUGAAAGGAGACUGCUUAUUGAGCUUUGAUUUUAUGGGCUGUAUUGGAUAAAGUCUAAUUUCUUUGCCAAAU
rnacentral:lncRNA from 1 species